rnacentral:rRNA from 1 species
GGUUAAGCGACUAAGCGUACACGGUGGAUGCCCUGGCAGUCAGAGGCGAUGAAGGACGUGCUAAUCUGCGAUAAGCGUCGGUAAGGUGAUAUGAACCGUUAUAACCGGCGAUUUCCGAAUGGGGAAACCCAGUGUGAUUCGUCACACUAUCAUUAACUGAAUCCAUAGGUUAAUGAGGCGAACCGGGGGAACUGAAACAUCUAAGUACCCCGAGGAAAAGAAAUCAACCGAGAUUCCCCCAGUAGCGGCGAGCGAACGGGGAGGAGCCCAGAGCCUGAAUCAGUGUGUGUGUUAGUGGAAGCGUCUGGAAAGGCGCGCGAUACAGGGUGACAGCCCCGUACACAAAAAUGCACAUGCUGUGAGCUCGAUGAGUAGGGCGGGACACGUGGUAUCCUGUCUGAAUAUGGGGGGACCAUCCUCCAAGGCUAAAUACUCCUGACUGACCGAUAGUGAACCAGUACCGUGAGGGAAAGGCGAAAAGAACCCCGGCGAGGGGAGUGAAAAAGAACCUGAAACCGUGUACGUACAAGCAGUGGGAGCACGCUUAGGCGUGUGACUGCGUACCUUUUGUAUAAUGGGUCAGCGACUUAUAUUCUGUAGCAAGGUUAACCGAAUAGGGGAGCCGAAGGGAAACCGAGUCUUAACUGGGCGUUAAGUUGCAGGGUAUAGACCCGAAACCCGGUGAUCUAGCCAUGGGCAGGUUGAAGGUUGGGUAACACUAACUGGAGGACCGAACCGACUAAUGUUGAAAAAUUAGCGGAUGACUUGUGGCUGGGGGUGAAAGGCCAAUCAAACCGGGAGAUAGCUGGUUCUCCCCGAAAGCUAUUUAGGUAGCGCCUCGUGAAUUCAUCUCCGGGGGUAGAGCACUGUUUCGGCAAGGGGGUCAUCCCGACUUACCAACCCGAUGCAAACUGCGAAUACCGGAGAAUGUUAUCACGGGAGACACACGGCGGGUGCUAACGUCCGUCGUGAAGAGGGAAACAACCCAGACCGCCAGCUAAGGUCCCAAAGUCAUGGUUAAGUGGGAAACGAUGUGGGAAGGCCCAGACAGCCAGGAUGUUGGCUUAGAAGCAGCCAUCAUUUAAAGAAAGCGUAAUAGCUCACUGGUCGAGUCGGCCUGCGCGGAAGAUGUAACGGGGCUAAACCAUG